GUAAAUAUAGUUUAACAAAAACAUUAGAUUGUGAAUCUAAUAAUAGAAGUGUAAAUCCUCUUAUUUACC
rnacentral:tRNA from 1 species